AUGAAGAGAUUCAGGUAUGAUUGCCUAACUCAUUUGCCUGAGAUCACACAACAAAUCAAUGGUGAAACUACCUACAAGCUUUUUGUAUUCUAGGAUUGUAUUUAAAUGUUUGUCUUUUGAAAACAGAAGGAAAAUAUGGAUUGCUAUGAAUUGAAAUAUUUCUCAGUUAGUUGAGGGAACAUUGGGUUUGAAACAUGAAAACCUCUCCUAACUUGAGCUUUAUCCCAAAAUAUAUUUGAAAUAAUCUUUGUUACCACACAAACAUACAAGUCAUUCAUGUGCUUUCUUUGCUUUAUUUCCAGAGAAAUAAUUGUGGUUUUUAUCUUGUUUCUGCUCCAGAGGAGAUGGUUCUAGUUUUCUCAGAAACAGGCUUGUUUUGGCUGUUGGGAUUCUUUAACAGCAGUCAUGCUGGGAAAUGCAGUUCCUCAGGAAGAGCUGAAAAUUGAGGGCAUGUGACCACCUUUGAGAAUUAUUAUAAAGAACAAGCUGUGCUGUGCAUGCGAGCUGAGGUGGUAUCUUGGGGGAAAKGUAGCCUGCUGGGGUACAGAAGUUAUUUAAGAGAAGCUGUGCCCUGUGUUCU
rnacentral:lncRNA from 1 species